ACCACCUCUGCAACAAACCUGGAAAGGUCACAUAGUACCAACGGCAAAGCAACGAUGAGGACGACGACACCAAACACGCGACCUGGAACAAUCACGUAACACCAGGGAUGAAGCAGCGAUGAGGACGACAACACCUCCUCCUCAACACCAUCGCUCACCGCACUAUCAAUGACAACCGCCUCAACAACUCUGAUUCAUCUUCCUCGACUGCUUCUUCAUCAUUCGUCCACGUCCGCCACUAACCCUUUCUCUCCCACAAAGAUUCUUCUUCCCCCAACCACCUCCACUGUUCACGGCCGCCACCCCUGUCUUCGAUCCACCUCUCUCUCUUUUUUUUCUCUCUCCCUGAUCCGCAUCCAACUCCGGUCAUAUUCGAACCUAUUUUUCAUGAUUUGUUGCAAGCUCGUGCCGGAAAGAGAAAAUUCUACUUCUUUCGCAACCAUUCGACUCUUCUUCACAUUCAAAAUUGUUCCAAUUCUAGUAGUUUGAUUCAGGUAUUUUUUUUUUUUUUGGUUAAAUUAGAUUGUUUCUUUAUGGGAGAUGAAUUGAAGAAAUUUGAGCAAGAGGAGAGAUUAAGAAAGCUUGAACAAUGCUCAACACCACCUUGGUUUCUAUCACUAUAAAUAGAAGAAAUUUCACCUAUAGAACGAAAAUUAGGAUUUGUUGAUCACUUGCACUUCUUCGGUUAGUGAAUCUUUAGUGCCUUGCAUAGAAUCAGACCUGUCCAUACAUAGAACGAGAGAGGACGAUUUGCAAUAGAAAGGGUUAGGGUUCCAAUGGGCAGCAAGUCUUGAAUUGGGGAUUUAUGUUUUAUAGCAUAAUAUAUGGGAUAAUUUUACUUACCUCGCCUGAGGUUAGGCGUAAUUACAGGCGGUACCCCUUACGUUUCAAAAAUUACACUAACCACCCUCCAAACUGAUCGGCAUUUUAUUCCGGCCAUUGACCAUGUUAAAUGACUAAAACACCCUUCAAUAUUUUAUUAAUAUCACGUGAAGAAUAUCUUUCUUUUUGAAAUUAUUAGAUUUUCCCUAAUGGUUUUGGAGGGAAAAAAACUGACGGCUAAGUCCCAUCAUUUGCAACCCUUUCAUUUCACUCAUUAUAUCAGGCAACCCAUUCAUUUCCUUUAUUUAUAUCACUAAACCCUUUUAUUUCCUUUACACAUCUCAUACAGCCGGAUCGAGAGAGAAACAGAAGAGAGAGAUGGAGAAGCACAGAGGUGAAGAGUUUGAUGCGUUGCCUUUCAAACCCUAUAUUUCUAACGACUUUGAUCUUCUGUUAUCUUUGCUAGCCGUUACAUAACCCAUAAUCGUUCAACAAACAGGCAUCGGUAUAAUAUUUUCAGAAGCAGGCAUUGCUGGUGAAGGCAGUUAGAGGUGGGAGUGGUGGUAUAAGCAGUUCUUAACCCCAAGGUGCUAUAUGGAGUUUUGGUACAAGUAGUUCUCAGCCCCAACUUGGUAGAGGGACAACUCAAAUGGUAGUUAGAGGUGGGAUUGGUGAUAUAAGCAAUUCUCAACCCCAAGGUGCUACAUGGAGUUUGGGUGCAAGCAGUUCUCAGCCCUAACUUGGUAGAGGCACAACUCAAAUGGCAGUUAGAGGUGGGAGGGGUGCGUCUAUGUCUCAGCCCUAACUUGGUAGUGGUACCUCUUCUGACAUGGCAAUGUGGUAACUGUCAUACUGUUUCAAUCCUUCUGGCCUCCCUUGAAGAAUGUUCUUUUGUGUUCUUAUUUGGAGCAUAUGUGGAUAACCUGUCACUUUUGAUAUUACCAUUUUGUUUUGAUGGCAUGUGGACAAGGGUUUGCUCAUAGUUAUAGUUGCAUUUGGAGUAUGUAUGGAUAACCUGUCACUUUUGGAAAACUUUGCUUGCUACUUGUUGACAAUUUUUGGGAUAUUGUUGGAUAGGUUCUUGGACAUGAUAUAAUUAUAUACUUAUACUCAUGGGUCAUGGGUAUACUUUUGGUUGUUUUGUGUAUGUAAUGAAGUGGAGACAGUUGGAUUAAACUAUAUAUAAGCUUUUGGUUAUUUUUUGCAUGCCACUGUGUUUUGCA